rnacentral:tRNA from 1 species
AGAUAUUUAGGCUAUAACAUCAAACCAAGGACCUUCAAAGUCCAAAAAAGAGACGCCCCCCUUUAAUAUCUG